AUGCCAAUUACAGUAUCCUUAGCAAGUUCCCUUAGCCAGAUCUGCCUCUCAUGUGUACUGUUCGGCAGAUAAAAUUAUUUUUGCUAGUCUAAACUGUUUCCUGCUACUGUUAGUUACCUUUUCACAUAUGACAAAACAUUUGGCUUGAACAAUGUUGUAUUGUUGUUCUGCUAUUGAUUAGCAUGAGGUAUAUUUAUUUUAGGGUGCCUUUAUUUUGUGAGGUAAAUAAUAUUCCUGUUUCAUGGAUAAUUGCCUGAUCACCAUCAGUAUUUACACAUUCAAAUCAAUAACAUGAACUCUCUGUUCAGGGAUCCCCGGCGUCGACGGCUGCAUCUCCAUCUGCACUGGCUCAACAUAACUGUUGGUAAACUCCCCAGUUGCAGCAGCGAUAAGGCCUUCUCCUUAGCAUCUGCUUGUUGAGGUUAGUGUUAUUUACGAAUUCAGAUGUUCUUGUAUUUCUGCAUCCUUAGGUUGUAAUAUUUGCAUUGAGGGCGAAAUGUUAGAAUAGAUGCACCGUACAGUAUUAGCCCUUACCGACGCUCUGUAUUAGUUAAAAAAUGUCUGUUACUGUUAUGUUUUUACUUGGAAAGUUGGUUAAUAGGAUACACAGGGGUGCAGGCAUUUCUUUUUCGGUGUCUCGGCACAUUUCAUUCA